GCCGCCACCUCCUCGGCAGGCGGGCGGGCGGGCAGGCGGGCGAGCCUGGGGAAGAAGAAACUGCUGUUUUUGGAGAAGACUUGGGUUUAAAUACCAGCUCUGCCCCUUAAUUCGUUUAUCCUUGAAGAGGCAGCGUGGUGUAGUGGAAAGAGAACUGGAUUUG